rnacentral:rRNA from 1 species
CACGUGGUAUCCUGUCUGAAUAUGGGGGGACCAUCCUCCAAGGCUAAAUACUCCUGACUGACCGAUAGUGAACCAGUACCGUGAGGGAAAGGCGAAAAGAACCCCGGCGAGGGGAGUGAAAAAGAACCUGAAACCGUGUACGUACAAGCAGUGGGAGCACGCUUAGGCGUGUGACUGCGUACCUUUUGUAUAAUGGGUCAGCGACUUAUAUUCUGUAGCAAGGUUAACCGAAUAGGGGAGCCGAAGGGAAACCGAGUCUUAACUGGGCGUUAAGUUGCAGGGUAUAGACCCGAAACCCGGUGAUCUAGCCAUGGGCAGGUUGAAGGUUGGGUAACACUAACUGGAGGACCGAACCGACUAAUGUUGAAAAAUUAGCGGAUGACUUGUGGCUGGGGGUGAAAGGCCAAUCAAACCGGGAGAUAGCUGGUUCUCCCCGAAAGCUAUUUAGGUAGCGCCUCGUGAAUUCAUCUCCGGGGGUAGAGCACUGUUUCGGCAAGGGGGUCAUCCCGACUUACCAACCCGAUGCAAACUGCGAAUACCGGAGAAUGUUAUCACGGGAGACACACGGCGGGUGCUAACGUCCGUCGUGAAGAGGGAAACAACCCAGACCGCCAGCUAAGGUCCCAAAGUCAUGGUUAAGUGGGAAACGAUGUGGGAAGGCCCAGACAGCCAGGAUGUUGGCUUAGAAGCAGCCAUCAUUUAAAGAAAGCGUAAUAGCUCACUGGUCGAGUCGGCCUGCGCGGAAGAUGUAACGGGGCUAAACCAUG